CCAAAAGGAACAGGAGGCAUGGGGUUUAGAAAUCUCCAGUUAUUUAAUUUAGCCAUGUUGGGGAAACAAGGAUGGAGAUUGAUAACAAAACCAUAAUCAUUAUGUUCACGUGCCAUGGCCGGGAAAUACUAUCAUGGUACAGAUUUCCUAAGUGCCAAAAAGAAAAAAGGCAGCUCGCAUGUUUGGCAAUCAAUUUUGAAGGGUAGAAGAGUACUACAAUUGGGAUUAAUAAAAAAAUAG
rnacentral:rRNA from 1 species